GAUGAACGCUGGCGGCGUGCCUAAUACAUGCAAGUCGAGCGAACAGACGAGGAGCUUGCUCCUCUGACGUUAGCGGCGGACGGGUGAGUAACACGUGGAUAACCUACCUAUAAGACUGGGAUAACUUCGGGAAACCGGAGCUAAUACCGGAUAAUAUAUUGAACCGCAUGGUUCAAUUGUGAAAGACGGUUUUGCUGUCACUUAUAGAUGGAUCCGCGCCGCAUUAGCUAGUUGGUAAGGUAACGGCUUACCAAGGCAACGAUGCGUAGCCGACCUGAGAGGGUGAUCGGCCACACUGGAACUGAGACACGGUCCAGACUCCUACGGGAGGCAGCAGUAGGGAAUCUUCCGCAAUGGGCGAAAGCCUGACGGAGCAACGCCGCGUGAGUGAUGAAGGUCUUCGGAUCGUAAAACUCUGUUAUUAGGGAAGAACAAAUGUGUAAGUAACUAUGCACGUCUUGACGGUACCUAAUUAGAAAGCCACGGCUAACUACGUG
rnacentral:rRNA from 1 species